GAAGAGGGGAACUAUUUUAUUCUGUUGAUGAUGGAACUCUGAAGAAAAACGUCAUCGACAAAGGAUAUGAGUUAAGAUAUAUAUACCAGAAAAGAUGGAAAUAAAGAUAUGGGACUGACCAACACUAUCAGGUAUUGACCUCGGACUGGGGAAAGGAGGCGGUUAUCAUUGUAUGGAUAGAAAAACAGGAAGUAACUUGAGAGAGGUGGAACCACAGUUCUAUAAGAGAGAGGAAAAGGAUAUCAAUAGGAGGGGAAAUACCAUAAUGGAUGAAGAAACAUCAAUAAAAUACCAACAUGGCAAUCAUAAUCCAAACUCUAAUUCCAUAAAACGAAGGCGAAAUAUGAACAAAAGAAUGAUUUACACAGAGACGCCUGUAAAAGGUGCAAGAAUAAGACAAGGUGUUCUGGAAGAGUAUGAACAUUUUUGUGCUUCUGGCAGCUGGAGAUUGUAAUAUCUCAGAAUAAUGUGGCAAGACAGUUCGAGGUGGAUGUAAAUGAUUUGUGGAGGUGUUUCCAACAGAGGAACACGUCACGGGAACAGGGUCAACCAGGACAUCUGCAUGUGAUGUCACAUCAGCAAGGCAUGCAAAUAUGGACAUAAUGUUUGCAUAAUCAGUUACAGUCAUUUUCAUCAACUGUGAGAAGAAUUCUAGGACUUAACAGCGAGAACAGUCAUCAAUUCAGCAGAGAAAUCGUUGUGGUCUGGGAUGGCAUUGCAACACAUGAAAGGACCUCCUCUGUUAUAGAGAAAAGAAAUCAAUGUACACUACCAUGAAUGUAUGCCAUCAUUUUCUUGCAUUAAACCUUGGUAGACAGCAAAACAUUAUUUAAGUUGGUGUAGCAGUAACACACUUGCUUUUCACCUAGCUGUCCCGGGUUGGAUUCCUGGAACGGACAUGGAAAGCAGGACAACUUACGACAUCACACUUCAUGUGUUGUUGGCACACAUUUAGAGCAGCAAAACUUUGUCAUACUAGGAUAACAUGCUGUGUUACCAGAUUUGUCUCCUAUCAAACAUGUUUGGGAUGCAGUGGAGUAACGUGUGCCAAGAGCCAAAUUUUCCUGCAAUGUUGGACACAUUAGGUUGUCGGACAGAACAUUCCUGAUU